GACAGAGGGUGCAAACGUUGUUCGGAAUUACUGGGCGUAAAGCGCGUGUAGGCUGCUUCGCAAGUCGGAUGUGAAAGCCCUGGGCUCAACCUAGGAAGUGCAUUCGAAACUGCGAAGCUGGAGUCCUGGAGAGGAAGGCGGAAUUCUCGGUGUAGAGGUGAAAUGCGUAGAGAUCGGAAAGAACACCAACGGCGAAAGCACUCUGCUGGGCCGACACUGACACUGAGAGACGAAAGCUAGGGGAGCGAAUGGG
rnacentral:rRNA from 1 species